AGAACCUUCCCAUUUAAAAGACAUGGGGAAGGUGGGUGUACCAGGGACUAUAAAAAGGCCCUCUGCCAACUGGCCAGGAUGCUCACUCACACAACACACCAUAUACAUGAGAGAGGAGAUGACCGCAGCAGUUCGACCCGUUGUCCCGCGACCGGCCGACACACCCUCAAAUCACCUCCUGGUCGCUCGGCCAGCCAGUGGAGAGCCGACUUGCUGAGCUACUUGUCUCACCCGACCAGACCGUCAACUUCCUUCCAGGCCCCUGCAAGGCGACCCUGUCUCGUCACUUCGCUCAGGGGGGAAGUCUGGCCUUCGGCGAGAUGGGCAAGGACAGCCUCAACGCCUCGAAGGGCAGAACCUGAGCCACGAUACACGGGACAUCGACGAGCUCCGCCUGAAGACGUCCCAUUUUAACCCUUACAUAUUGUUGACCCCUUUUAUUCCCAAUAUUAUAUACCAAAUAAACCUUCUGGGGCCCUGUCCCACGGAGACAACAACUGCUCAAGAUCUCAGCCCAGCCUCGUCGUCUUCCCCUGUCCUCCGACCCGGUUUUUUCUCAGAAAAAUUUCUAGUUCAUAAAAGUUCAUAUCGUUCAGAAACAUUUUUCAAGUUUUUCUUUAAAAAUAUUUUAAAGUUAAAACGCUUGUAAAUUUUACCAAGUCCACUCGGGCUAGAGAGUCAGCGCGUGAAAGCUGAGAGGAAGUGUUUGUUGAUCCUCGAUAUAGCGCGCCAACGAUAGAGUGCGAGAGAGGAAAAUAUUCUGUCCCCUUGGUUGUUUCCCGGUAUAUAAAAAAUUUAAAGUUUUCUGAGUGAUUUUUUCAAUUAAAUAUUUUUUUUUGCCUCGGACAAAUAAUCAGAAUUCGGAUUAUUUCUGUCAGAAAAUUAACAUUUUUCUGUCAAAUAAUUUGCACAUUUUCUUCAGAAAAAUUUCAAGUUCAUAAAAAUUUUGAGUUCAGAAAAAAAACAUUUAAGUUUUUCAGGCAAGUGGGAUGUAACCAAUGUUUGUUAUGGGGAGACAAAAAAUAUGUAGUCGUGGUGGUCAAAACGUCUUAUUUCCCUUGUAUACUUGU